rnacentral:rRNA from 1 species
CCUACGGGAGGCAGCAGUAGGGAAUCUUUCACAAUGGGCGAAAGCCUGAUGGAGCAACGCCGCGUGCAGGAUGAAGGCCUUCGGGUUGUAAACUGCUUUUAUAAGCGAGAAAUAUGAUGGUAACUUAUGAAUAAGGAUCGGCUAACUACGUGCCAGCAGCCGCGGUCAUACGUAGGAUCCGAGCAUUAUCCGGAGUGACUGGGUGUAAAGAGUUGCGUAGGUGGCAUAAUAAGUAGCUAGUGAAAUCUGGUGGCUCAACCAUUCAGACUAUUAGCUAAACUGUUAAGCUCGAGACCGUUAGGGGUAACUGGAAUUUGUGGUGUAGGAGUGAAAUCCGUAGAUAUUAGAAGGAACACCAAUAGCGUAGGCAGGUUGCUGGGACGGUUCUGACACUAAGGCACGAAAGCGUAGGGAGCAAACGGGAUUAGAUACCCGGGUAGUC